rnacentral:rRNA from 1 species
AUCAACUUUCGAUGGUAGGAUAGAGGCCUACCAUGGUGGUAACGGGUAACGGGGUGUUAGGGCACGACACCGGAGAGGGAGCCUGAGAAACGGCUACCACAUCCAAGGAUGGCAGCAGGCGCGCAAAUUACCCAAUCCCGACACGGGGAGGUAGUGACAAUAAAUAACAAUACGGGGUUCUUUCGGAUCUCGUAAUUGGAAUGAGUACAAUUUAAAUCUCUUAACGAGGAACAAUUGGAGGGCAAGUCUGGUGCCAGCAGCCGCGGUAAUUCCAGCUCCAAUAGCGUAUAUUAAAGUUGUUGCAGUUAAAAAGCUCGUAGUUGAAUUUCGGGGUUAGUAGGUUGGUCAUGCCUCUGGUAUGUACUGGUCUCACUGAUUCCUCCUUCCUGAUGAACCUUAAUGCCAUUUAUUUGGUGUUUUGGGGAAUUUGGACUGUUACUUUGAAAAAAUUAGAGUGUUUAAAGCAAGCUAACGCUUGAAUACAUUAGCAUGGAAUAAUGAAAUAGGACGUUCGAUCCUAUUUUGUUGGUUUCUAGGAUUGACGUAAUGAUUAAUAGGGAUAGUUGGGGGCAUUAGUAUUCAAUUGUCAGAGGUGAAAUUCUUGGAUUUAUUGAAGACUAACUACUGCGAAAGCAUUUGCCAAGGAUGUUUUCAUUAAUCAAGAACGAAAGUUAGGGGAUCGAAGACGAUCAGAUACCGUCGUAGUCUUAACCAUAAACUAUGCCGACUAGGGAUCGGAUGAUGUUAAUUUUUUAAUGACUCAUUCGGCGCCUUACGGGAAACCAAAGUGUUUGGGUUC